rnacentral:tRNA from 1 species
GGUCCCAUAGCUCAGUUGGUCAGAGCGGCAGACUCAUAAUCUGAAGGUCGGGGGUUCAAGGCCCUCUGGGACCA